rnacentral:rRNA from 1 species
UACGUAGGGCGCAAGCGUUGUCCGGAAUUAUUGGGCGUAAAGAGCUCGUAGGCGGUCUGUUGCGUCCGCUGUGAAAACUCGGGGCUUAACCCCGAGCCUGCAGUGGAUACGGGCAGACUAGAGGUAGGUAGGGGAGAAUGGAAUUCCCGGUGUAGCGGUGAAAUGCGCAGAUAUCAGGAGGAACACCGGUGGCGAAGGCGGUUCUCUGGGCCUUACCUGACGCUGAGGAGCGAAAGCGUGGGGAGCGAACAGG